GCGAUCAUACCAGCACUAAUGCACCGGAUCCCAUCAGAACUCCGAAGUUAAGCGUGCUUGGGCGAGAGUAGUACUAAGAUGGGUGACCUCUUGGGAAGUCAUCGUGUUGCACCCC
rnacentral:rRNA from 1 species